rnacentral:rRNA from 1 species
UACGUAGGGUGCAAGCGUUGUCCGGAAUUAUUGGGCGUAAAGAGCUCGUAGGCGGCUCGUCGCGUCGACCGUGAAAACCCGCGGCUUAACUGCGGGCUUGCGGUUGAUACGGGCGGGCUAGAGUUCGGUAGGGGAGACUGGAAUUCCUGGUGUAGCGGUGAAAUGCGCAGAUAUCAGGAGGAACACCGGUGGCGAAGGCGGGGUCCUGGGCCAGUACUGACGCUGAGGAGCGAAAGCGUGGGGAGCAAACAGG